UGAAAUGGUGCGGCUCAACCGUAGCACUGCCCUUGAUACUGGUUGUCUUGAGUCAUAGUGAAGUGGCCGGAAUAUGUAGUGUAGCGGUGAAAUGCAUAGAUAUUACAUAGAACACCGAUUGCGAAGGCAGGUCACUAACUAUCGACUGACGCUGAUGGACGAAAGCGUGGGGAGCGAACGGGAUUAGAUACCCCGGUAGUCCACGCCGUAAACGAUGGAUACUAGCUGUCCGCUACCUUGAGUAGUGGGCGGCCCAGCGAAAGUGAUAAGUAUCCCACCUGGGGAGUACGUUCGCAAGAAUGAAACUCAAAGGAAUUGACGGGGGCCCGCACAAGCGGUGGAGCAUGUGGUUUAAUUCAAUGAUACGCGAGGAACCUUACCAGGGCUUAAAUGCAUAAUGACAGGUCUAGAGAUAGACUUUUCUUCGGACAUUUUGCAAGGUGCUGCAUGGUUGUCGUCAGCUCGUGCCGUGAGGUGUCAGGUUAAGUCCUAUAACGAGCGCAACCCCUGCCGUCAGUUGCCAGCAAGUAAAGUUGGGGACUCUGACGGGACUGCCGGUGCAAACCGCGAGGAAGGUGGGGACGACGUCAAAUCAUCACGGCCCUUACGUCCUGGGCUACACACGUGCUACAAUGG
rnacentral:rRNA from 1 species